AAAUAUUUAAUAAAGAUGUUGGCAAACUUGAAAGUCUUCCUCUCAUUGUAGACGUUAGGAAGCUUUGGAUCAAUAAAUAAGUCUCAGAACACAAAAUUCUGAUACCACAAUACAGAAGAAAUUGAAGCUAGCAAACUCAUCAAAUGACAAUAAGUACUAGAUGUCAUUCAAGUCUUCCUCAAGGAUGCAGAUAGCAGGACUGCAGAUGAAGGAGACGACAUGAAUGAGGGGAUCAGAACAUUGGUGAAAGAUUUGAGAGAAACCUCUUUUCGCAUACAAGAUGUCAUUGAUGAAUACAUUAUCUAUGUCAGCCUGAUGCUCUUGGAUGUGCAGCUUUGCUCUGUCAGAUCAUUCACUUCAUUGAAACUUUGAUGCCUCAUCACCGAAUUGAAUCAGAGGUUCAGCAGAUUAAGUCAGUUGUUGAUGGAAUCAUGCAAAGAGUUCAAAAUUAUAACUCCCUAAAUCAACUUUUUUCUAAAAAGGACAAAGCAGUGAUGGAGGUUGCCAAAGUGUCCAACAGCAUCUCCUUUGAUCAAAUCCGCAUUUCCUUGAAGAUUCUGAAGUUGUUGGCUUUGAAGACCCCAAAGAUGAAUUGAUUGGUUGGUUAGUAGAGGGACCAGCAGAGCGCAUUGUCAUCUCUGUGGUGGGAAUGAGAGGGUUAGGAAAAACUACCCUUGCCAGCAGAGUAUUUAACAAUGGGAAGGCUGGAAAAGUUGAUGAGAGACUUGUUGAAGAAGUUAUUUGAAGAUGAAGGGAAGGAGCCUCCGCAGUAUAUUUCUGAAAUGGAUCGAGAUUCAUUGCUUGAUGCAGUGAGAAAAUAUUUGCAACACAAGAGGUCCGUUGUUAUCUUUGAUGAUGUGUGGAGUGUAAAACUUUGGACUCAAAUUGAAAAUGCCUUGCUUGAUAAUAACAAUGGAAGUAGAAUAUUAAUCACAACUAGAAGCAGGGAAGUUGUUACCUCUUGUAAGAAUUCUCCUUUUAACAAGGUGCAUGAGCUGAAACCUUUAACUUUAAAAAGUCUAUGGAACUUUUUUGCAAGAAGGCAUUCCAAUGUCACAACAAUGAACUUUUCUGAUUUUGUUGAAAAAUGUAAGGGUUUGUGUUAUGAAAGGAAUAAAGCAGCAACAAUGGACUCAGCAAGGGUUUGUGUUAUGAAAGGAAUAAAGCAGCAACAAUGAACUUUUCUGAUUUUGUUGAAAAAUGUGAAUUCUUGGACUGCAUUGUUCCCGAUGGAGGAACAGAGCACCCAAGUAUCCAUCAUGUGCCCCUUGUAACAAUUCAUACCCUUGGAGGAAAAACACGCAUUAUUCAUCACUGGAAGUCAAGCCAUUAGAAUUCAUAAAAAGGAUCUUGUAACACGAAAGCUCGAAGAGGGUGAUGAAGGAGUACAAAACCCAAUAUGUUAACCACUGCUGAUCAUCUAAGGUUGAAGGACUCUCAAUUGCCCUCAUUGAUGCGUAUCUGUUAUAAUUUACUCAUAACACAAGGAAUGUAGUUAUCAUAUGACUCCAAUAUUAAUUCAUACAGCAGAUUAUGUGCA